rnacentral:rRNA from 1 species
GACGAACGCUGGCGGCGUGCUUAACACAUGCAAGUCGAACGGAAAGGCCCUGCUUUUGUGGGGUGCUCGAGUGGCGAACGGGUGAGUAACACGUGAGUAACCUGCCCUUGACUUUGGGAUAACUUCAGGAAACUGGGGCUAAUACCGGAUAGGAGCUCCUGCUUCAUGGUGGGGGUUGGAAAGUUUCGGCGGUUGGGGAUGGACUCGCGGCUUAUCAGCUUGUUGGUGGGGUAGUGGCUUACCAAGGCUUUGACGGGUAGCCGGCCUGAGAGGGUGACAGGCCAAAUUGGGACUGGGAUACGGCCCAGACCCCUACGGGAGGCAGAAGUGCGGAAUAUUGCACAAUGGGCGGAAGCCUGAUGCAGCAACGCAGCGUGCGGGAUGACAGCCUUCGGGUUGUAAACCGCUUUCGCCUGUGACGAAGCGUGAGUGACGGUAACGGGUAAAUAAGCACCGGCUAACUACGUG